rnacentral:lncRNA from 1 species
CAGUUCUUCAAAGGCUAACAAAUUGUGGGUUUGGUUGCUUUUCUCUAAAGUUAUUGUAAGCAGUCAACAUUGAUUGGACCACUUUUGCUCAGCCUGGUAUAAAUGUGUAGUGUACACAUAUUUUGAAGGAAGAGAAAUACAAGAGAGAAACUAGUUUUUCACUGCAAAAUGCUCCCAGCAGCUGGAACUAUUGCUACAGACAGUGGUUUCAGUUUUCCUCUAUGCUCAUUUGCCAGGUCAGUAUGGAAACAAAUUUGUUUAACCAUGUGAAUUCACAAGUCCCUGGUAGUGGGAGAGGCAAACUCAGCUGUCAUGAUGGUGCAUGAGCCCAAGAGUGGCCCUUCCAAAUUGAAUCAGUGCUUGUGGAAUCCUUCUCCUUCAUCACGCUGCAUGUGUGAAUUAUUUCUUGAUCUCAAUUUUAUGUCUAUUGCCUUGCUUUUACAUUCAUUGUAAAUAUAAAAUAAGCAAACUAUUGGCUUAAUUUUGCAUAAAUUACUCAUUACAAAUCAAAUUCAAUUUCCUUAUGGAAGACAGUGAAGUCAGUUCAAAAUUGUGUCUUCUUACCUUCUGCCCUCUUUAGAGUUGUGUUAACUGCUUAAUUAAUUCAUACAUUUUAUGCAAUUAAUUAAAAAAAUGCUUAGCUGCUCCAUGUCUUAUUGUGUUACAUGGAUUCUAUGACUACAGGUAGAUUUUUAAAAGAGAACCUGUCUAAUUCUAAUGACAAGAAUUUGUCAUUGCCUAAUUUUUUCUAAGUAAACACAGCUUUCUUCAGACAUGAAGAAGCAGGUAAGUCCCUCUGGAGAGUCUCCUCAGCCAGGCUAAGUGACUUGAAUUGAUCUUGUUUGGCAGUCGUGCCACCUCUGUGUGGGAGGAAGUCUUGGGUGAAAGAGUGGCCAGAGGUGACUUGCUUCUCUCAACCUACA